rnacentral:sRNA from 18 species
CCGCGCCCGCUGCUUGAGGGUCAAGGCCCUUCUGCCUGUGCGCUAAAUCUGGUCGUGCCGCUGUCCUGUGGACACCGCCAUGCGCACCACGGAAACCGCCGGCUGAUGCCGAAAGGUCCGGCGCAGUUACCGGGCUGAGCAAUCGUCCCGGCAAUGUAAAUAGCACGACAGGUCG